AAGUUCCCGGAGGCCGGCUUUAUGGGACUUGUAGUUUUGAGGUGGCAAGUACUCAUAAGACAGUGAAGGCGGGCCUCGUUUUCGACUGUGAAAGAAAUUUAAAAACACACAAAAAAAACCACGAAAACUUUCCAAGGCUUAGAGCAACCCAAGGUCCACUUUCGUUUUCCCAACUUAAACUAUAUUCUACAAGGACUGUAAACUCCCUUAAGGUCUUGAGGAGUCAGCGUGACAGCAUGUGUCCAGCUUAGCGUAGGACCUGUAAUACAGUGGA